AUCCUGGCUCAGGACGAACGCUGGCGGCGUGCCUAAUACAUGCAAGUAGAACGCUGAAGAGAGGAGCUUGCUCUUCUUGGAUGAGUUGCGAACGGGUGAGUAACGCGUAGGUAACCUGCCUGGUAGCGGGGGAUAACUAUUGGAAACGAUAGCUAAUACCGCAUGAAAUUCAUUGUCGCAUGAUAAUUAAUUGAAAGAUGCAAUUGCAUCACUACCAGAUGGACCUGCGUUGUAUUAGCUAGUUGGUGAGGUAACGGCUCACCAAGGCGACGAUACAUAGCCGACCUGAGAGGGUGAUCGGCCACACUGGGACUGAGACACGGCCCAGACUCCUACGGGAGGCAGCAGUAGGGAAUCUUCGGCAAUGGGGGGAACCCUGACCGAGCAACGCCGCGUGAGUGAAGAAGGUUUUCGGAUCGUAAAGCUCUGUUGUAAGAGAAGAACGGGUGUGAGAGUGGAAAAUUCACACUGUGACGGUAUCUUACCAGAAAGGGACGGCUAACUACGUGCCAGCAGCCGCGGUAAUACGUAGGUCCCGAGCGUUGUCCGGAUUUAUUGGGCGUAAAGCGAGCGCAGGCGGUUAGAUAAGUCUGAAGUUAAAGGCUGUGGCUUAACCAUAGUAUGCUUUGGAAACUGUUUAACUUGAGUGCAGAAGGGGAGAGUGGAAUUCCAUGUGUAGCGGCGAAAUGCGUAGAUAUAUGGAGGAACACCGGUGGCGAAAGCGGCUCUCUGGUCUGUAACUGACGCUGAGGCUCGAAAGCGUGGGGAGCAAACAGGAUUAGAUACCCUGGUAGUCCACGCCGUAAACGAUGAGUGCUAGGUGUUAGGCCCUUUCCGGGGCUUAGUGCCGC
rnacentral:rRNA from 1 species